GACGAGCGCUGGCGGCGUGCUUAACACAUGCAAGUCGAACGGUGAAGCGCCUUCCUUUUUGGUGGGUGUGGAUGAGUGGCGAACGGGUGAGUAACACGUGAGUAACCUGCCCCCUUCUUCUGGAUAACCGCAUGAAAGUGUGGCUAAUACGGGAUAUUCUGGGUCUGUCGCAUGAUGGGUCUGGGAAAGAUAUUGUUUCGGUGGGGGAUGGGCUCGCGGCCUAUCAGCUUGUUGGUGGGGUGAUGGCCUACCAAGGCGGUGACGGGUAGCCGGCCUGAGAGGGUGGACGGUCACACUGGGACUGAGACACGGCCCAGACUCCUACGGGAGGCAGCAGUGGGGAAUAUUGCACAAUGGGCGCAAGCCUGAUGCAGCGACGCCGCGUGAGGGAUGGAGGCCUUCGGGUUGUGAACCUCUUUCGCCAGUGAAGCAGGCCUGCCUCGUUUGCGGGUGGGUUGACGGUAGCUGGAUAAGAAGCGCCGGCUAACUACGUG
rnacentral:rRNA from 1 species